UUAGGGCUUAGGGCCCCCUUUUUUUAGUGGCCCACUUAAACCAAAUCCUCUAAUGUCGAUUCCAUAUUUCUCUUCUCGGCUUCUGCAUUCGUUGAUACACAAACGACGCCUCAAAUCAAAAGCCACAGUCACACUUCUUUCUUCCUUCUCCAUUCUCGCGGAAUUAAUCUUUGAUUGACUGAUUCCCCUUUCUCGAUUCUAGUAGGCUUCUUCAAUCUCGAUUCUUGAACUGACACUGAAAGAAAGGUUGAACCGUUGAUAUAGCUUUUGUUCUUCUUCCUCCUCCAUUCUCGGCUACUAUGAAGACCGAUGAACUUCUAUAAUGAUUAAGGUAUGUGUUGUGUUUUGUCACUUGAUUUUUCCAUUAUCUGAUUAUCUAUUAGGGUUAAUAGUCGGGUUUUUUCAUUAUCUAUUUUCACUUGAUACCUUCUAUUCUCGAUUUCUUUGUUGUUGUUUGAUUUUUGAUUUUUGAUUUUUUGAGUUAGUAUUUUCAUUCAUUUUUUGUGGUGCUGGUAAACUGAAUCUUAAUUUGUUUACUUCUUUUCAAGGUAUUAUAAGAUUUAUAUGAUUUGCUUAACUAAACUGGUAAACCUUAAUUUGUUUACAUCUUGUGAAUUGUGUUUUUGUGAAUUUGUGUUUAAACAGAGAAAACAAACAUUGCAAGUUUAAACAGAGAAAAAAAAGACAAUCUUCACUUAUGUAUUGAUCAAUUUCUAUGUAUAUGGCUACUGCCUUGUUCAUUGAUUUUUUUUGUUGAGUUGAGUAUUUUUGAGUUGAAAUAAUCCUGUAACUUUUAGUUCUCAUUUUAGUUAAAACAUUGCAAGUUUAAACAGAGAAAAAAAAGAGACAAUCUUCACUUUUAUAUUUAUUUUUAUUACAGAAUAGGGUUGGAAUGAAGGGGCCCCAAGUUUUUAGUUGGCUUAGAGCCCCAAAUAUGGUUGAGCGGCCCCUGGAGGGGUGGAGUGCACUUACAAAGGGGGAGUAGCAACAGCAAGAGGCAAUGGUGGCGGUGUUUGGAGCUGUGACACGAGGGUCACGGAGAUGGUUGAUGGCGUCCAACAUCCUCCUGUUAGUCGCGGAGCUAGAUGGGGCAUUUGGGGUACUACAACAUCUCCAAAAAUUUGUUUUAUGUAUAUAAAAAAAAUUAUUUGUAAACAUAUUCUAUGUUAUUGUACCCCUAUCUUAAGAUAUUGUACAUUGUUUUUUAAUGUCUGGGAUAUGAUAACUACAUAGAAUAUAUAUUGAUAAUGUUUUUACUCCCAUAUCAAAAUUCUUAGCUCCGCCACUGCCUCCUGUUGUUGGGUUUCUUGGUUCUCCGGCUAAUAAUAAGGCAGAGGAAGGUGUGGGAAGUCACAAAAUAGUAGCAUGGUGAAGAUGAAGGGUUGUGGAGGUGGGUUACAGAUAAAAAAAUGAGGGGCAGUGGGGUUGUGGAGUGGCGGCAGUGUGGUGGUAGCAAGGUGGCUGCCACAUUUUCCUUCCUUUUUUUGGGCUGAAUCUGAAAAGAGAAGAUGUAAGGGAGGGUUGGGAGGUGUUGGGUGGUGAUUUCAGACCAAGAGAGGUGGUUUAGGGUGG
rnacentral:lncRNA from 1 species